GAUGAACGCUAGCUACAGGCUUAACACAUGCAAGUCGAGGGGAAACGAUAGAGAAAGCUUGCUUUUUCUAGGCGUCGACCGGCGCACGGGUGAGUAACGCGUAUCCAACCUGCCCACCACUUGGGGAUAACCUUGCGAAAGUAAGACUAAUACCCAAUGACGUCUCUAGAAGACAUCUGAAAGAGAUUAAAGAUUUAUCGGUGAUGGAUGGGGAUGCGUCUGAUUAGCUUGUUGGCGGGGUAACGGCCCACCAAGGCGACGAUCAGUAGGGGUUCUGAGAGGAAGGUCCCCCACAUUGGAACUGAGACACGGUCCAAACUCCUACGGGAGGCAGCAGUGAGGAAUAUUGGUCAAUGGACGAGAGUCUGAACCAGCCAAGUAGCGUGCAGGAUGACGGCCCUAUGGGUUGUAAACUGCUUUUAUAAGGGAAUAAAGUGAGUCUCGUGAGACUUUUUGCAUGUACCUUAUGAAUAAGGACCGGCUAAUUCCGUGCCAGCAGCCGCGG
rnacentral:rRNA from 1 species